rnacentral:rRNA from 1 species
AUGGGCCCUGAUUGUAUCCCCAUUGAGGUGUGGAAAGGUCUAGGGGACGUAGCGAUAGUAUGGCUAACCAAGCUUUUCAACCUCAUUUUUCGGGCAAACAAGAUGCCAGAAGAAUGGAGACGGAGUAUAUUAGUACCAAUCUUCAAGAACAAGGGGGAUGUUCAGAGUUGUACUAAUUACCGUGGAAUUAAGCUGAUGAGCCAUACAAUGAAGCUAUGGGAGAGAGUCAUUGAGCACCGCUUAAGAAGAAUGACAAGCGUGACCAAAAAUCAGUUUGGUUUCAUGCCUGGGAGGUCGACCAUGGAAGCCAUUUUCUUGGUACGACAACUUAUGGAGAGAUAUAGGGAGCAUAAGAAGGACUUGCAUAUGGUGUUCAUUGACUUGGAGAAGGCCUAUGAUAAGAUACCGCGGAAUGUCAUGUGGUGGGCCUUGGAGAAACACAAAGUCCCAGCAAAGUACAUUACCCUCAUCAAGGACAUGUACAAUAAUGUUGUGACAAGUGUUCGAACAAGUGAUGUCGACACCGAUGACUUCCCGAUUAAGAUAGGACUGCAUCAGGGGUCAGCUUUGAGCCCUUAUCUUUUUGCAUUGGUGAUGGAUGAGGUCACAAGGGGUAUACAAGGAGAUAUCCCAUGGUGUAUGCUCUUUGCGGAUGAUGUGGUGCUAGUUGAUGAUAGUCGGAUGAGGGUAAAUAGGAAGUUAGAGUUAUGGAGACAAACCUUGGAAUCGAAAGGGUUUAGGCUUAGUAGAACUAAAACCGAGUACAUGAUGUGCGGUUUCAGUACUACUAGCUGUGAGGAGGAGGAGGUUAGCCUUGAUGGCCAGGUGGUACCUCGGAAGGACACCUUUCGGUAUUUGGGGUCAAUGUUGCAGGAGGAUGGGGGUAUUGAUGAAGAUGUGAACCAUCGAAUCAAAGCCGGAUGGAUGAAGUGGCGCCAAGCUUGCAUUCUCUGUGACAAGAGAGUGCCACAAAAGCUAAAAGGCAAGUUCUACAGGACGGCGGUUCGACCCGCAAUGUUGUAUGGCGCGGAGUGUUGGCCGACUAAAAGGCGACAUGUUCAACAGUUAGGUGUGGCGGAGAUGCGUAUGUUGAGAUGGAUGUGUGGCCACACGGGGAAGGAUCGAGUCCGGAAUGAUGAUAUACGAGAUAGAGUUGGGGUAGCACCAAUUGAGGAGAAGCUUGUCCAACAUCGUUUGAGAUGGUUUGGGCAUAUUCAGCGCAGGCCUCCAGAAGCUCCAGUGCAUAGCGGACGGCUAAAGCGUGCGGAGAAUGUCAAGAGAGGGCGGGGUCGACCGAUUUUGACAUGGGAGGAGUCCGUUAAGAGAGACCUGAAGGAUUGGAGUAUCGACAAAGAGCUAGCUAUGGACAGGGGUGCGUGGAAGCUUGCUAUCCAUGUGCCAGAGCCAUGA